rnacentral:lncRNA from 1 species
UGUCGGGGGAGGAUGGCAGAGGAGAAAUGAAGGCUGUAAAAAGGUCCCCACGUUUCACUCCAAGUCUUGCUUUAGUGCAAGCUCCUACAUAGGGUUAAAGUCUGCUGGGACCUGAACCAGAAUUGGACUCCUGCUGCCUUCCCUAUCCUAUCUCCUCAUAGAAGAUGAGCAGCCCUAGGGGCUACUCCAGAGCCAGAACUCCUGCCACAUCUUCAACAGUGCCCAAGAAGAUGCUUGCCAUGCACCUCAGUGACUACUUAGUGACACAUUACAGCUGAGAAAAAAUACAUCAACACAGAUCACUGAAUUCCAAUCCAGAGAAUGACCUUCUGACCUCCACAGCUACUGCCCACAACAGCUGCUAUUUCAACCACCUUCCAUCCUGAGGUAGCUCCAUUUCAUUGAUGAGUGAACCACUUCCAGAAAACAAUUCAUGGACACUUUAAAAUCCUUCAGGAUGAAAUAUUUUUACACAUUUGUUAUCAAAGCAACUUUGUGAUCUGGAUCAAUAAAGGGUUUUCUGUGAAUGCUUCA